AAACUUGUAGAGGUGGUCAACUGUAUGAUGUACAGAGGGUCCAUGAUUUUAUGCUUUCAAUGAGUUGAUCUUUACAAGACCAUUUUGCUGUGAAAAUUUCAUCAAAACCGGACAGAUUUCCACCCAACAGUAACGUCACCAGUUCAUAAGUGUUCUCUAGUGGUGGAAGGGUUAAUAAUCGUUGCAGCUUUUGAAAAGAACUAAGAACUAAUACUUUUAAUCCGCAGGUGUACCCCAUCACAGCAUUCCAUGACCCAGAUGUCAACAGUGGCUCACAGCGCCUGGUUGACGCUCAUUCUCGUAACUGGCCGUCAAAACGAAUCCUUAUGCAGCGUCAAACCUUACGCGCCGUGCCAGUGUCUGAAGUUCAAUAUAAAUGGAAGGAGACGUCAACGCGUUUCUGGGUGUAUGGACUUGACCACAAAGUGCACGCCCCAGACUACCCCCAACAGUGCUGUUGUGGUUGCACUAUACUUUAAGUCAAUUAAAGAAAAGAAACAAAUAAAAACUAGUUGUUGAAGGUUGUACAGUGAAAUCUCGAUUUCUCGAACCUUUACAAAGGAAAUGGAAAUUGGUUUGAACAGUCAGGUAUAGUUCGAGAAAUCGGGGUUAAAAUUACAGUAUUCGACUGAGGGGAGGUAACGACUUUUGGUUCGAGCAGUGGGGAGGUUCGGAAAAGUCGAAGGUUUGAGAAAUCGGCAUUCCACUGAAUAUAUGUAUGUCUGGAUUUAUGAAAACGGUGUUAACGAAAUCGCGCCCUGCUCAAACGUUCUUUUCUCGCCAGAGACCUCCAAAGUAGACGAUAUAAAAAUUAAAAGGAAUGUCAGUCUUUUUUAUCUCCUCCGCUCUCUUAUCUUCAUCUUCUUCCUCUUCUCUCUCUAUUUUGUUCCUUUUUUAUCGCUUUUGCCCAUCAGGAGUCGUGAAAUCAAAGUGCACAUGGGUAAUUUGGUGUAAAGUAUUGACACGGUUUUCAUAAAUCCAGUCAUAUAGUAUAAAUUUUUACUAGGUGAUUCCUCUGUAUCCAAACUGGUGUAAAGAAUACUAUAAAUGAAGUUUACACUAUUUACAAGGCGAUUUUGCUAUAAUUAACUUGAUUUUUUAAAAUAUUUGGUGAUUGAAUCUUUCUGUCAUACAGAAACGCAUACCUAAAGAAAUAAUUUUUACCAGUGUUAGUAGGCAAUACUGAUCGGUUCCAAGAAUUUGCUACCUCAGUUUGCUCUACUAAACAGUAAUAUUCUUUUUAUUUUGCAAGGACAAGUUUAUAACCUUUAUUAUAUUGUAGUUAGCCAUUUAAUGUCUCCUUCACAUUCGAGCUUAAACAUGAAUAAAAACUCACAAGCAUU